rnacentral:rRNA from 1 species
AAAGAUUAAGCCAUGCAUGUCUAAGAACAUAUGUGUAAACAUGAAUCUGCGAACGGCUCAUUAUUAACACCCGUAAUCUACCCAGUCUUCGUAUCCAAAACGGAUAUCUGCGUUAAUUUUGGAGCUAAAACGUGCACCAAAGCACCGCCAGCAAUGGUAGUGCGCACUUAUUAGUUUAAGGCCGAUUGGGGCAACCCUCUUGGUGACUCUGAAUAAUUUUGCGGAUCGCAUGGUCUUGUACCGGCGACGUACUGGUCGAGCGGGUGCCCUAUCAACUAUUGAUGGAAGUCUAUGUGUCUUCCAUGGUUGUAACGGGUAACGGAGAAUAAGGGUUCGACUCCGGAGAGCUAGCCUUAGAAACGGCUAUCACAUCCAAGGAAGGCAGCAGGCGCGUAAAUUACCCACUCUCAAUUCGAGGAGGUAGUGACUAUCAAUAACGAGACAGAUCUCUUUGAGGUCUGUCAUUGAAAUGAGCACAACUUAAAGACUUUAACGAAGUCUAUGGAGCA